CUGCAACCGCAAAGUCUCCAUGGAAUGCACCUGAGCUCUUUGAUCUUUCAGUUCUUGAGGGUGAAACAAUUAGGGAAUGGAUUUUUUUUGAUAAGCCACGCAGAGCAUUUGAGAGUGGGAAUCGAAAGCAAAGGUCAUUACCCGAUUACAGUGGGCGUGGUUGGCAUGAAUCAAGGAAGCAAGUGAUGAAUGAAUUCGGAGGGCUGAAAAGAUCUUAUUAUAUGGAUCCGCAACCACUGAACAAUUUUGAGUGGCAUCUUUAUGAAUAUGAGAUCAACAAGUGUGAUGCUUGUGCUUUGUAUAGAUUGGAACUGAAAGCUGUUGAUGGAAAGAAGGGUGCUAAGGGUAAAAUAACAAAUGAAUCAGUUGUUGAUCUGCAGAAGCAAAUGGGUAGACUGACUGCUGAGUUUCCCUCUGAUAACAAGCGGUGUGUUAAAGGAAGGACCAGAGUGAAUGCUAAGGUUGGUGUCGGAAGUGUUUAUUCAGCUCCAAAUCGAGUGGCACCAACAAAUGAAACAUUUGAUUAUGAGCCAUGCAAUUAUCUUGUUGAGAAUCUAGGUGACUAUUAUGUGACUUAAUUGAAGAACCUUUGUUUCACGCCGAGCAAGCUGCAAUUGUCUAGUUACAGUAGCUGAGGCAUUAUCUUAUUAUUGGUGGCUUUGUCUUCAGUUUUUCAUAAUUAAUAACGUGAAUUGAAGCUCUUGUUCGGCAGUGAAUUGUGCAUACUUGGUUUUCACAUUGGAGUGCUGUCUGCAUUAGUACUGCUGUAGAUACUGGAGCAUAUUCUAACCUGAAGACGAAGAAAAAUGGCUGUUUUUCAUCAGUCUAUUUUUAACUGAUAUGGUAGGUGAAGACUGGAAAUCAAUUCAUGUCACCAAAAUAGUAAGUGGUGGACGCAAAUUAUAGCAAAAUUAUUUUACUGACAUUUUUGGGGUUUCAAGGCUUUAUACUACUUCUCGGUAUGAUGAUCAUGGGAGAUAUAAUCUUUAAUAUGUAACUUUCUUUCUUCCAAAGACACAAUAUCAUCUGUUUAGAUUCUCAUACUAGAGUUUCUGAGUUGGCUUGGUCAGGAAUUUGCAAAUAAGAUCUGGUAAAUUCGAUAUAAUAAUUAUUUAC
rnacentral:misc_RNA from 1 species